GACCGGCGCACGGGUGCGUAUCGCGUAUGCAAUCUGCCUUUUACAGAGGGAUAGCCCACAGAAAUUUGGAUUAAUACCUCAUAGUAUUAUUGAAUGGGAUCAUUUAAUAAUUAAAGUCACAACGGUAAAAGAUGAGCAUGCGUCCCAUUAUCUUGUUGGUAAGGGAACGGCUUACCAAGGCAACGAUGGGUAGGGGUCCUGAGAGGGAGAUCCCCCACACUGGGACUGAGACACGGACCACACUCCUACGGGAGGCAGCAGUGAGGAAUAUUGGUCAAUGGGCGCAAGCCUGAACCAGCCAUGCCGCGUGCAGGAUGACAGUCCUAUGGAUUGUAAACUGCUUUUGUACAGGAAGAAACAUCUCUACGUGUAGAGACUUGACGGUACUGUAAGAAUAAAGAUCGGCUAACUCCGUGCCAGCAGCCGCGGUAAUACAGAGGAUCCAAGCGUUAUCCGGAAUCAUUGGGUUUAAAGGGUCCGUAUGCGGUUUUGUAAGUCAGUGGUGAAAGCCCAUCGCUCAACGGUGGAACGGCCAUUGAUACUGCGAGACUUGAAUUAUUAUGAAGUAACUAUAAUAUGUAGUGUAGCGCUGAAAUGCUUAUAUAUUACAUGGAAUA
rnacentral:rRNA from 1 species